CGCGAAUGGCUCAUUAUAACAGCUUUAGUUUACGAGACGUAGACACGAUCCUACUUGGAUAACUGUGGUAAUUCUAGAGCUAAUACAUGCAUUAAAGCUCCGACCUCACGGGAAGAGUGCACUUAUUAGAACAAAACCAAGCGGCUUCGGCUGUUUUCGGUUGACUCAUAGUAACUGAGCUGAUCGCACGGUCUUGCACCGGCGACGUGUCUUUCAAGUAUCUGCCGUAUCAACUUUUGAUGGUAGUGUAUCUGACUACCAUGGUGAUCACGCGUAACGGAGAAUAAGGGUUCGGCUCCGGAGAGUUCGCCUGAGAAAUCGCGAACACAUCUAAGGAAGGCAGCAGGCGCGAAAAUUACCCACUCUCAGCACGAGGAGGUAGUGACGAAAAAUAACGAGACCGUUCUCUUAUGAGGCCGGUCAUCGGAAUGGGUACAAUUUAAACCCUUUAACGAGUAUCUAUGAGAGGGCAAGUCUGGUGCCAGCAGCCGCGGUAAUUCCAGCU
rnacentral:rRNA from 1 species